rnacentral:rRNA from 1 species
UACAGAGGGUGCAAGCGUUAUCCGGAAUUAUUGGGCGUAAAGCGCGCGCAGGUGGUUUCUUAAGUCUGAUGUGAAAGCCCACGGCUCAACCGUGGAGGGUCAUUGGAAACUGGGAGACUUGAGUGCAGAAGAGGAAAGUGGAAUUCCAUGUGUAGCGGUGAAAUGCGUAGAGAUAUGGAGGAACACCAGUGGCGAAGGCGACUUUCUGGUCUGUAACUGACACUGAGGCGCGAAAGCGUGGGGAGCAAACAGG